AUGCUUGUUUCAGCAGCACAUACAGUAACAUUAGAAUAAUACAGAUUCACAUGUCUCCUGAGCAAGAAUGAUAUGCAAAUUCAUGGUGUUCCAUAUUUUU
rnacentral:snRNA from 1 species